CAGUAGCCACGGGAAUACAGAGGAUGCAAGCGUUAUCCGGAAUGAUUGGGCGUAAAGUGCGCGUAGGCGGUUUUUUAAGUCUGAUGUGAAAGCCCACGGCUCAACCGUGGAGGGUCAUUGGAAACUGGAAAACUUGAGUGCAGAAGAGGAAAGUGGAAUUCCAUGUGUAGCGGUGAAAUGCGCAGAGAUAUGGAGGAACACCAGUGGCGAAGGCGACUUUCUGGUCUGUAACUGACGCUGAUGUGCGAAAGCGUGGGGACCAAACAGGAUUAGAUACCCCAGUAGUCCCUGUCUCUUAUAC
rnacentral:rRNA from 1 species